AUUGAACGCUGGCGGCAGGCCUAACACAUGCAAGUCGAGCGGAUGAAGGGAGCUUGCUCCUGGAUUCAGCGGCGGACGGGUGAGUAAUGCCUAGGAAUCUGCCUGGUAGUGGGGGAUAACGUCCGGAAACGGGCGCUAAUACCGCAUACGUCCUGAGGGAGAAAGUGGGGGAUCUUCGGACCUCACGCUAUCAGAUGGGCCUAGGUCGGAUUAGCUAGUUGGUGGGGUAAAGGCCUACCAAGGCGACGAUCCGUAACUGGUCUGAGAGGAUGAUCAGUCACACUGGAACUGAGACACGGUCCAGACUCCUACGGGAGGCAGCAGUGGGGAAUAUUGGACAAUGGGCGAAAGCCUGAUCCAGCCAUGCCGCGGGUGUGAAGAAGGUCUUCGGAUUGUAAAGCACUUUAAGUUGGGAGGAAGGGCAGUAAGUUAAUACCUUGCUGUUUUGACGUUACCAACAGAAUAAGCACCGGCUAACUUCGU
rnacentral:rRNA from 1 species